GCGGAGGUCGCCUAGCCUGGUAGGGCGUGGGAUUGCUAAUUCCAUGACUUUCGGGUCACGGGGGUUCGAAUCCCCCCCUCCGCGCCA
rnacentral:tRNA from 1 species